rnacentral:lncRNA from 1 species
CUCAACCGUUUGAUAAGCUCUUCCUGAUUCACAGUUCUAAAUUCUACCAAUUUGAUUAGGCUUAGCUGUUGAAAAAUAAAACCAUCUAACAGUUAUCUCCAAAACCAUUAAGUCAUGCAAAUGCAAAUAAAAUGUAUUCACUUACCCUCCAAUUUCGUGCAACUUUAGUUGGUCUAUAUUUAGCUCCAUUAAUUUUAAAAGGCUUGACAUGCGUAGGGUAGUCUUCCUCUUUACAAAGGUCAUUUUCCUCGAGGUACUUCGAUAGAUAAAACAAUCGAAUCAUAGCUGGUUUCUUCUCACUUGAGGUGUUAUCAAUUAGAUCUUGAGUAUAAGCUGUCACAUUAAAUUUGCGAUUGUUGAUUUUGAUGUUCACAUGUGCCUCAACCAUCGUGGCAAUUGGAUUCCAGUUCAAUUUGUUACUAAAUCUCUUUUCCCUCCCAUUAUGACGAAUAUUAUCCUUGUAGUGGCAUACCCAGAACUAUGCAGGGGUAAUAAGACCAACAAAACCAACUCCGUAAAAAGUAAAGACUCAUAACAAUGUUCAAUGACAAAUCCAACUCCUGCUAUGAAACUUUCUAGGAAACCAAAAAGGAGCAGAAAGACGGCAACAAUUCAAGUGCCUACCAUCAUACUCAAGAUUCGAUCAGCAUCGAAACAAGUUACUUAGUGGGCAUGUCCUCAUAUGCAAGGGCUUUAUAUUCUUAUCAUAAGCCUCAGCCGGGUCCAACAAAUCUGCAAACACAAAUUAAGGACAACUUCAGUUGAAUUGGGUGUAUUAGUUACACUAAACCAACUUUAUUCGUAUGUAUAAUAGGCAGCAGUGGUAAUCCAGUCGCAACUGAAUUAUAAGUUAUAACUAUACAAUGUUGCAACAAAGAAAAAGUCGUGCGAUAUGAACUAAGCCAAUCAAUUAUGAACAACCAUAUUCUUGGUAUGGAAAACAUAGCAAGAAUGGUAGUAGCCAGUAAUGACUCACCUUCCCCAGUUGACUUUCUCCUCAAGAUGUAGACAUUCUUCCGGUAUUAGAACUCUUCUGGAAUGGAGUGUGGUUGCAAUGGCCACAGACAGAUUUUGAGGAAUAUUACAAAACAGAGAUGGACAAAACAAAGUCAUACGCCAAAAUACAAAACAUUAAAUAGCUCAGGUUCUCCAAAUUCCAAUUCACAAUCACUUAGUUUCAUUUCUCCUCCUUAAGGUAAUAGUAGCUCAUGAAGAAGCCCCCUCUCUGUUUUGCAAUAUUCUUCAAAAUCUUUUUGUGGCCAUUGUAACCCCACUCCAUUCCGGACGACUUCCUGCACCGAAAGAAGGGGUCACAUCUUUCAUCGUCCGGGUCGUAUCCCACCAGCACGAUUGCAUAUUCAUCGUAUGUCGUCUGUUUGGCAUCCUCAUUCAAAUUUAUAUCUAUAUAAAGGUCGCUCUCUUUUUUCCCUUCCAUUCAUUAAAAGUGGGGUAACCCGAGAGUAUCACCACCAGGUCUAUAUUUAGCUCCAUUGAUUUUAAAAGGCUUGACAUGCGUAGGGUAGUCUUCCUCUUUACAAAGAUCAUUUUCCUCGAGGUACUUCGAUAGAUAAAACAAUCGAAUCAUGGAUGGUGUCUUCUCACUUGAGGUGUUAUCAAUUAGAUCUUGAGCAUAAGCUGUCACAUUCAAACUGCGAUUGUUGAUUUUGAUUUUCACGUGAGCCUCAACCAUCGUGGCGUAGGAGAUCGCCCAACAGUAUA